CCUACGGGUGGCUGCAGUGAGGGAUAUUGGGCAAUGGGGGAAACCCUGACCCAGCGACGCCGCGUGAGGGAAGACGGUCUUCGGAUUGUAAACCUCUGUCUUUGGGGACGAAAAAGGACGGUACCCAAGGAGGAAGCUCCGGCUAACUACGUGCCAGCAGCCGCGGUAAUACGUAGGGAGCGAGCGUUGUCCGGAAUUACUGGGUGUAAAGGGAGCGUAGGCGGGAAGGCAAGUUGGAUGUGAAAACUGUGGGCUUAACCGACAGACUGCAUUCAAAACUGUUUUUCUUGAGUGAAGUAGAGGCAAGCGGAAUUCCUAGUGUAGCGGUGAAAUGCGUAGAUAUUAGGAGGAACACCAGUGGCGAAGGCGGCUUGCUGGGCUUUUACUGACGCUGAGGCUCGAAAGUGUGGGGAGCAAACAGGCUUAGAUACCCCAGUAGUC
rnacentral:rRNA from 1 species